UACAGAGGGGGCAAGCGUUAUUCGGAAUUAUUGGGCGUAAAGGGCGCGUAGGCGGCUUGGCAAGUGGAUGGUGAAAUCCCUCGGCUUAACCGAGGAGCUGCCGUCCAAACUGCUUCGCUUGAGACCGGGAGAGGUGAGUGGAAUUCCCAGUGUAGCGGUGAAAUGCGUAGAUAUUGGGAGGAACACCAGUGGCGAAGGCGGCUCACUGGACCGGUACUGACGCUGAUGCGCGAAAGCGUGGGGAGCAAACGGG
rnacentral:rRNA from 1 species